rfam:Ictidomys tridecemlineatus contig069994, whole genome shotgun sequence.
GGGGAUGUAGCUCAGUGGUAGAGUACUUGUCUAAUAUGCAUGAGGCCUUGGAUUCAGUCCCUAACCUCACUA